CGUCUAAAGCGUCAAUCUCAGUCAGCUAUAGGUCAUAGGAGGCUGGCUCGAUGACCUAGAGAUACUCACCAUCGCCAUCACAGAUGCAAGGAGCCCUCCAUGGAAACAGUGGCUACCACUCUUUGACGAUGGCUCGACUCCAGCAUAAAACCAAAACAAAGCCACAAUAUGGAUAUUCAAUGCUGCCGUCUCUAUUUCCUUUAGACUUGCAAAAGAUAAACACAAUCCAAAACCUAUUUACACCCAUUCUAGUUGGGGGAGGGCUGACCCGCAAGCCAUGCCCAAAACUAAUGUGUUUCCCUACCCAGAAGGGCCGGAAAAGACUGCAGGAGGUGGAAAGCCAUGAACCCGAGACAGGAAACAACAAAGGAAGAAAGAUUUGAGAGAAAAUUCUCUCUAGAACUAAAAAGAAAGAACCAUAUUAAUUUUUCCCUCAUUUAUGUUGGACUGUUGUCUUGCUCGCCCGUAUUCAUUGUUAAUGCAAGUGUAUUGCAGUUGUGUACCGCUAGCCCCCUUUUCAUAAACAAGUUGUUAUUAAGAGAAAAUCCCAAAUGUGGAAAAUAGCGGUAACCUUUUUAGUCAGAUUAAACCAAAUUAUCCAUAUAAGAAAAUAAAAUCAUUUACAAGGGAUUUGUUUUUAAUUUCUUUGUAUUUCUCAUAGAAUUAAGUGUUUUGCUUGGAAAUCAAUGGAAAAACAAUUGGUCUAAUCUCUUGGUGAGGACAAGGUUAUGAAUUAGCACUAACACCCAAGUGGACAAUUAGUCGACUCUUGGCACCAUGGCAGACGGUGGCAAAUUCCAGUGAUUACAGUGUGCGCUAAAGCUUCAAAAAAUUACCUGGAAUACUCUUUCCCUCCAUGUCUGCCAGUUUAUUUUCAUCGUACAUUUCACUUUUUUUUCUUCAAAUGCAAAAGAAGUAUUUCUCUUCUUUGAUGCUCUCAGUCUUGACCGUUCAAUCCAACAACCAGCAAACAAACAAUCCUUCAUCAUGCGAAUGGAUUUGUCGGAAAUUGCAAAGAAGCUUGGCCUAUCGGAAUUCAAGAACCUGAUCCGAAAAGCGGCGGAGCUCCUCCGCCUCUGUGACGUCCAGUUUGAUUCCUCCAUUAUCGGAGUUGUAAGUGCUACUUUGGAAUUUCAAAUUCAUUUGAUCAAAUAUGUAACAUUGCGAGUGUUUUCUAAAAUCGUCAAAAUUAUUUAAUUACUUGCAGGGAGAGGUUUGUAAGGCUAUAAUCCGCUUGGAAAUCGCUGCAACACGGUGCCCAUUUUGUUUAUAAUCUUUUUUAUCUUUAUUUUUUUUAUGGAUAGAUCAUUUGUAUGUUAAUGUAUCGGUAUAAAUGAGUGCAGGUUUCAAGUUUUUUUUAUAGGCAGGCAGCAUAAGGUUGAGUGGAAUGUUAGAGAAGGCUUACAAUAGGUCCUUCAAUUCUCUGCCAAACAGUCUUGGUGUUAAGCAAGUUCUUAUUCUCUUCUUUCUGGGUUAUAUUUCUUGAUUUGAAUUUAAUAGAUAAUGUACUAAGAUGUUGGAUCUUAACCUGGAUUGAUUUUUGGUUGUGUGCUGUAGGACAAAGCUGAAUAUUAGAGAAUUGGGGAUUCAGUUUGGGUGCAUUAGGCUCAUUCCUUUUGUGAAAAAUGGCCUAUCAUUUCUAUUUCUUUGGUUUACCCACUAACUGAAUUCCAUUUUAUGUUGCCACGCAUAAAGUGACAUUUGCAUUGUGUUCUUAAAAAUGCCUAUGAGUAACAGAUCCCAAAAUCAGUUUAUAAUGAGUGAUUUUUCUGCAUGUAAUCACUAGAUGUGUGCUUUUAAUAUUCAACCUUUUAGAUAUGUUGUAGCUCAGAAGAUUAGUAGACCUUUAGUAGACCUUCUAGGUGGUGUCCUGCAAUGAUCUCUUGAGGUCUAGAUUUCUUUAAUCAACUUAAAAAUAUUUUGUUUGUGUCAAUUGUACACCUGUAGGCCCCGGUAAUUACUAUAUUUGUAUUACGUGUUUUCCGACUGAGAGGUGUCGAUUGUCAGGUACGAGGAAUAUUUUCUUGCAUCAUUGCCAGCUUCAAGACGAGCAACUGCUGGCUUCAACCGGCCUGUGUUACUGCAGUUGCAUUCUACUUGUAUGCAAAGAAACGCAAGGACAGUGAACAAAUUUUUUCACCAGUUGUUGAUUAAAGAACUAUAUUACCUUUGUGUUUUAGCUUAUGUGGUUUAUGUUUCUCUCUCCGCAGCUCAAGAUAGACAGUUUGUGGCAUAUGUGAAUCUGAAUUCAAAUUUGUGUCCACCUCCAUGAAGGACCUUUGUCAUGAUGUCUUUGGGAUCUCAGAGAAAAAGAAGGAUCCCAGAGAGGUGAAGGGCAACCGAGGUAAAUUUUAUUUGGUGACUAUGGGCUUUAUUCGUUCUGUUACGUAAUGGAUUGGAUGGGGUCAAAAUAUCUACCCGGAUUUGGCUGGCUGGAAGAAUAGUCGGGUAGUUGGAAUUAGAUAUUGUAAUUAUUCGUCAGAAUUUAAAUUACAAGAUCAGAUUCCUUACGCUUUGCCAGAUAGGCUAAUGAAAACUAAUUUGAUGCAGCGCAGAAUCGUGCUUCUCAAGUCACAACCCCAUCUCCCACCCAGAAGACAAUAAGAAUGCAACACCUCAUUUUUAUUCUUUAAUU